rnacentral:misc_RNA from 1 species
AGUCCUAAAUUAGUGUGGAUGAGGUGACCUUACCAGUUAAAACUUUUCCCUUUUAUCCAUUUUUUAAAUGUUUGUCCUCUAAGGUAAUUUUCCAUAUCUGGGCUGCGAUUCUAUGCUUUACAAUUCAUCUCGAUCAUUUCCUGGUUAGUCUCGACGUUGUAUUUGGUUCAUUUUCCUUGUAGCAGAAGUUUGUUGACUUUGUUUGUGCUUAGUCCUGGUUGUAUUUUGGCCUUUUGCUUUGCUGUACCUGUUUAUUCUCAUCAUUCUGGAUAUAUUGGUGUGCAUUUACUUAUUUAAAUUCUGGGUCCUUGUUGAAUUCUCGUGUAUGUUCUGCAAAUUCUUUGAUGUGUAUAUACUUUUUGUUUAGUUUCAUGGAUGAUUCCUUCCUCUGUUUGCUAUGUACGUUUUCUCUUAAAUUAGUUUUCUUGAUUGGUAAUUGAUUAAUUUUAAUUCAUUAUAGGUUGUUUUAAGAUGUAAACAUUUGAGCACCGGAUGUAUGGAGAGUUUGUAAAAAUGUUACUGCAGUUUCUCAACCCUGUGAAAAUAUUGGUCUUGAUACGGCCAUUACACGUAGUAUUAGUAACCUUCCCACCCAAUUGAUACCAGCAAAAGCACUUCUUUAGCUACAUUAGUAGGUGAAAAAGGAUAGUUAACAUCAUCUUUUGUAAGAAUUCGUUAUUAACUUAUCAUUGUGUUUAUGAUGAACUUGCUCAUUAAUUUGUUAAUUGUAUUUGUCUAAUUUCGGUUAUGUAAACUUUUCAUUUUCUUUAACUAGACAUGAUGGGUUGUAUGAAUUUCUUUCAUGAUUUAUUUGAUGAAUUAGCGUGUGUUAUGGUGUGAUUGGAAUUUAUUUAGGGGUUAGGUUGGAUACGUUUCCAGCCAAAAAAAAAAAGGAUUAACAAAUGGGUUUGGGAAGUAUAUAGGUAGUAAUAAUUGGAUUUGGGGUCCAUAUAGAUAGUAUGGAUGUUAAGCAGGUUUGGGUAAUUCA